UACAGAGGGUGCAAGCGUUAAUCGGAAUUACUGGGCGUAAAGGGUGCGUAGGUGGUUUAUUAAGUCGUAUGUGAAAACCCUGGGCUUAACCUAGGAAUUGCAUAUGAAACUGAUAGGCUAGAGUGCAGUAGAGGGAAGUGGAAUUUCCAGUGUAGCGGUGAAAUGCGUAGAUAUUGGAAGGAACAUCAGUGGCGAAGGCGACUUCCUGGACUGUUACUGACACUGAGGCACGAAAGCGUGGGGAGCGAACAGG
rnacentral:rRNA from 1 species